UACGUAGGAUGCAAGCGUUGUCCGGAAUUAUUGGGCGUAAAGAGCGCGCAGGCGGCCCAUCAAGUCAGAUGUGAAAUAACCAGGCUUAACCUGGUGGGGUCAUUUGAAACUGGCGGGCUAGAGUCCAGCAGAGGAUAGCGGAAUUCCCGGUGUAGUGGUGAAAUGCGUAGAUAUCGGGAGGAACACCAGUGGCGAAGGCGGCUAUCUGGGCUGGAACUGACGCUGAGGCGCGAAAGCUAGGGGAGCAAACAGG
rnacentral:rRNA from 1 species